GAUCGAUGUCGCGGAUAGCACCGUAUUUGUAGAACACGUCCUCAAUGUCCUUGGUUCGGAUGUCUGGAGGGAUGUUAGGCAGUUUACAGAGAUACCAUAAAACAUUACUAAAAGUGGAUGGAGAAAUCAUGGGGAAAAUAAGGGAGGAGGAUUAAAAUGAAGGCAUCGAUAAGAUAUUGGUCCACUUCACUCCUCUUUGGAAGAAGAAAGAAGUGAAACUCAAGGAAGAUAUGACCUAUGCUGAAAAGAAGUUGAGAAAUCCUCUCCAUGUAUCACAUAGAGAAACAAAAGUGCCCCUGGCCACACAGGAUGCAGCCUCUAGUGCUAUCCAAAUAUGUAACUAGAGGAAAUGUGAUGUAGCUCUUUUGUCUUUCUAUGUUUCUGAAGGAUGUCUCCCUUGUGGAAAAGCUGACUGGAUGAUUAAAAACCUCCUGAUCAGUAUAAUGCUUUUUUUUUGUUGCUCAGGGUUUAUCUGUGUUCUUUUUUUUAACCAACUAGUUGGAAAUACAUCUCAGGUUCCCCCUUGCUAAUCUGGUGUGCUGAGCAGGAGCCUGUUCUUUGAAAAGUACAGACUUUGGAGCUAAAGAGAUCUGAAUUUGAAUCCUGACACCUCUACUUACUAGUUGUGUUAUCUGGGACACCUCCACUUACUAGUUGUAUUACCUGGAGCAUCUUCUUUUAUUCAUUGAUUUGUCUAUUUGUGUUUUCAUUCUCAUUCAGAAUGUUUCUCGAGCACUCUCACUAUGCCACGGGUACAAACAUAAAGCCACGUGACCCCUGCCGAGGACAAUUUGCCCUUGGUCUACCCCAGUAGCCUACAAACUUUCCUGACCACUCACACGAUCAAUAAAACAUUUUU